rnacentral:lncRNA from 1 species
CAUUAGUUAAAAAGUUACAGAUCUGAGAAGAAAAUCAAAUGGGGUUUUUAGUUUAUGUAUUUCUAGUACCUCAGCAGCAAGGUAUUCAAGAACAACUGCGAGAUAAAUAGGAGCACCAGAUCCAACACGCUGAGCAUAACGACCCUUCUUCAAGUAACGAGCAAUACGACCAACUGGAAACUGAAGACCAGCUUUCACUGACCUAGCUACAGCCUUCUUCUUUGAGCCACCCUUCCUUCCUCCGGCACCUUUGGGUGUCGUAGUAGCAUCCAUUUCUGUCAACAACUAAAUGUUUUGAAGAGAAAAAUAGAGAAUAAGCUUUGAGUGGUUUUUGCCUUUGAGAUUUGAAAGCUGACGAAGAAAAUGGAACGGUGGAGUUUGACAUUUAUAGGAUAGAGAUGGAUUGCCACGCUGGCGAUCCGUGUGAGUGGUAUUGUUAUUUCACGGUGCGGAUUUGUUGUUUUAAUGUAAGAUCGGACGGGUACCAAAAGCUUCAGAUUUUUGUAAUUUUGACGCCAAUAUACUUGGGACUGAAUUUUUUUGGAGACACUACAAUUUGUUGAUUACAUUUCAUUUUAUAUGGUGAUUAAAAAAUUAUAAAUUAAAUAAUAAAUUUUAUCAUUUUAUAUUUUACUCAUAUUAAUUACUUCAACAACAUAUUCAAUGUUUUCCCAUAUAGUGGGAUCUGGGAGGGCAGAGUGUACGCAGAUCAUACCAUUUCCUUAGAUAAAAUAGAGAGGCCGUUUCCGAUAGACUCCCGGUUUAGGACCGAUAACAGUAUAACAAACAUCAAACAUAAAUACAUAUAAAUUAGUACAGUUUGUAAAAUAAACUAACGGCACUAGCCAUAAGAUAAUAUUACAACCACAGGAUAAUACUAAAAACUAUCUAUUCGAAAUCAUAGAUAUCACUCAAUACCAUGAACAAAAAAUUUCAGACACAAAUAAAGAACACUCCCCUACUUUUACCGACGCACUCCCACCCCCUAACUCUCUACCCCAAUUUGUGUUCUCCACAUCUUCCUAUCAAGGGUCAUAUACUUUGUAAAAUAUAACUGCUCCAUAUCAUACCUAAUCACCUCCCUCCAAUAUUUCUUCUAUCUACCUCUGUCCUGCCUAAAAUCAUCCAUAGCCAGUGUCUCACACCUCUGUACUAGAGCAUCAAAGCCCAUCUUCAUCACAUGCACGAACCAACGUAACCUUACUUCCGCAUCUUGUCUUCCACCGAGGUCACUCCCACCUUCUCCUGAAUAAUCUCAUUUCUUGCCCUAUCUUUCCUAGUUUCACCACACAUUUAUCGUAACAUCCUCAUCUCCGCCACCUUCAACUUUAGGAUAUGGAAGUUCUUAACUGGUCAACACUCCGUUCCAUACAAUAUAAACGGUCGGACUGUCACUCUCUAAAACUUUCCUUUAAUUUUCGGGGGCACCUUCCUAUCACAUAAAACUUUUGAAGCGAGCCUCUAUUUCAACCACUCAGCCCCAAUACGAUGCAUGACAUCCUUGUCAAUCUCAACAUUACCCUGAAUCAUAGACCUCAAAUACUUGAAACUCUCCUUCUUCUGAAUGGGCUAAGAGUUCAACUUCACAACCACGUCAGCCUCUUGUGACACAUCACUAGACUUACACUCCAAGUACUCUGUCUUGGUCUUGUUUAACCGAAAUCCUUUAGACUCAAAGGUCUGUCUCCAAAUCAUCAACUUAUCAUUAAUUUCUUCCCGAGUCUCGUUAAUCAAUACCACACUAUCAGCAAAUAACAUACACCAAGGCACCUCCCCUUUAAUAUGUCGCGUCAAAAUUUUCAUCACCAUAGCAAAUAAAAAGGGGUAAGAGUCGAUCCCUGAUGCAACCCUGUCAAAAUCGAAAAGUGCUCUGAAUCUCACCUACCGUCCUUACCCGAGUCUUUGCGCCUUCAUACAUAUCCUGAAUCGAUCCAGUGUAUGCCACAAGUACCCCUUUAACCUCCAAGCACCUCCACAGAAUCUCCCUGGGAAUUUUGUCAUAAGCCUUUCCAAGAUCAAUAAACAUCAUGUGCAAGUCCUUCUUCCUCUCCCGAAACUGCUCCACUAAUCUCCUCACAAGAUGAAUGGCCUCAGUAGUCUAGUAACCUGGCAUGAAACCAAAUUGGUUUUCAGAGAUAGUCACGCUCCUUCUCAACCUCAACUCUACCAUCUUUUCUCAAACCUUCAUAAUAUUACUCAACAACUUAAUACCUCUAUAGUUGUUGUAACUCUGAAUGUCUCUUUUGUUCUUAUAUAAUGGAAUCAUUGUACUCUACCUCCAUGCUUCAAGCAUCUUCACCGCCCUAAAAAUGAUGUUAAACAACCCUGGUAACCACUCCAAACCUGCCCCUCUAGUGUUCUUCCAAAAAUCCACUAGAAUCUCGUCUGGCCCUAUUGCUCUACCCCGACGUAUCUUGCGAAUAAACCCCUUGACCUCCUCAACCUCGAUACUCCUACAAUAACCAUAGUCGCAACACUCCUCAGAUUUCUCCAAGUCCCCCGACACGAAACCUUUGUCCCCCUUAUCGUUCAAAAGUUUAUGAAAGUAAGACUGUCACAUCUUCCUAAUGAGGGCAUCCUCAACUAACAUAGUACCAUCCACGCCCUUGAUGCACCUCUCUUUGUCAAAGUCACGAGCCCUUCGCUCCCUAGCCUUGGCAAGCCUAUACAAUUUUUUAUAUUAUAAUUGUUCAUAUUUAAUAUAUAUUAUUAAUUAUAGGGGUAAAUAUAAACAAAUUAACUAAUUUUGUCCUGAUUUAGGAAGUAAUCAACUACUCCCUCUGUUUCAUAUUAUGUGGUCCUUAUAAACUUGACACACCCAUUAAGAAAUCAAUAAAUAGAGAUUUGUUUUAUAUAUCUACCCUUAUAUGCCUUUUAAAGUGCAAUAGCUAAUGCAACAAUUAAAUAAUGAAAUUUGAACAUAUUACUCCAUCCUAUGCAUUACGCCUAGAACGUUGAAUAUUUAUAAUUGAAACUAGUAAUAAUCAUUUAAUGGGCGUUUGGUCAUGAAAAUUAAAACUUUUGAAGUUAAAUUUAGAGUUGAAGUUGGAAUUGAAGUUGGAGUUGCAAUUGUGUUUUUCAUGAAUAUAGUUGGAGUUGUUUUUGAAUUUUGUUGAGAGAGGGAUAUGGAAAAAAAUGAAAACAACUUUUUCUUGUUUUCCACUUUUUCAAAUCCAACUCAAGUUGUGUUUGAAAUUUUCAUGGCCAAACAUCAACUUGGAGUUGGAUUUGACAUAAAGUGAAUUUUUAUUUUUAUUUUUGAAAAAGUGAAAAAAUAUAAUGGUCAAACAGGCCCUUAAUUUUGGUUUGAGAAUUAAGAUCACUUAUGCACCAUUCAAUAAUUUUGAAAACUUUGAAUGUAUUUAAUACUCCUACCAAGUUAAGAAAGCCAACUAAUAUAAAUUGGAGUGAGUAAUAUGGGACAUUUAUUUUUGGCAGAAUACAUCGACACACCUCUUAACUUGACAUUAUUUUUUACUUUGGCACUUCAACUGAGUGGUGUCCAUUUUUAACACCUUAAGUAGUCAUCAACUGUGUCACUUUGACACAUUUUGCUGAUUUGACACAUCGUGUAUAUUGCACACACUUUGAGCGCGUGAAUAGCUUAAAAACUAUACUAAUUUUUAGUUUUCUUCUUCUUCUUUCUUUUGAUCUUCUUCAACACUUUUCUCCAUUUUUAUUCACCAACCACUCAACCCAACCACGAUUUCUUCCUUAAUGAUAGUCAAAAAUGGAGAAAAAUUAAUCUACCAUCACCUUCUUCUUUCAAUUUCUAUAAAUUCAUAAUUUUCAAUCUCUCAUUUUAGCUCAAUUUCUGCCUCAAUUUUAAGUUCAUUUAAUGAUGAAAAGUUUUGAAAUAGAGUUAGAGUUAACAUGAAAGAAUGAAUAGUGUCAAAUGCAAUUAGAUUGUGAAAAUUUCCACCAAUUUGAAAUCUCAAUAAAUUUUUAACAAUUUUUUUGGUGAUGAAUUCUUAACAGUUUUUUCUUUUUUCAAAAGAUGAUUGUGUAGUAGGAGGUAAUUGAAGAGAAGGUUUUAGAUGUGGGGAUGGGUAGGCAGAGGAGGUGAAACGGUGGUAGUAAUUGGAGAAGACUACCAAGGGGUAGGGAAGUGGGUGGGGUGGGGGUGGGGGUGGAUGAGGUGGAGAAGACAAAUUUGGUGAGGGUGGGGUAAUUAUAAUCUAUUUUUUUAUAAUUAUUUGGGUUAAAAAGUGUCAAGUGUCAAUAUUUAAUUGAAAUUUUUUUAUUUUAAUUAAAAUUAGUUGUUUAAAAAUUAAGUUGGAGAGAAAUGACAAAUGUCCGCAUUUUAUUCGUCAAUUUUAAUGUCAUUAGCGCAAAUAGCACACAUGUGGAGUAUUUUUUUGCUGGUUAUGAAAAAAGUGCUGAAAUGACACACUUGAGACUGCUUUAGUUGCUAAAAAUGUGCACCGUCCCCUUGAAGUGCCAAAGUGAAAGAUGGUGUCAAGUUAAGGGGCCUGCCGAUGUAUUCCGCAUUUAUUUUUAGUAAGAUGAUUAACUAAAAUGGGACGAAGGGAAUAGCAUAUAUGCUAAAAAAUUUAUCUCAAAAUUGUUGCUAAAACAUUGUUUCAAUAUAGUUAGAUUGUUUUAAAGAUCAACAGAUAAUUAACUAUUUCCCCCGUCUUAUAUUAGUUGUUGGCUAUUUUCUUUUAGUGGCGGAUCCAAGAUUUAAGGAUAGUGGGUACUUUUAAAAACUGAAAAAGUAAAAAACCAACUCAAUGAGGUUUGAAUCCGAGGCCUCCUUCCAAUGGGUGCUUUCAUAUGGUUUAUACCUAUUUUCAUAUAUUUUCUAUGUAAUUAUACUUAUUCCAUAUCGAGUUUAGUGGUGCUGCAGCACCCCCAAAAUCCUACAUAGGUCCGCCCCUGUUUUCUUUUUUAUACGCUUAUUAAGAAAUGAUAAAUAAAUAAAUUAAAAAGGCAUUUUUUACCAAUUCACCUUAAAAAACUUUUUAAAAACUUUACAAGUAAGUGUGAACACUUUAAAAAAAAAAAAAAUUGUUAGGAUAAUAUGAAAAAAUUUAAUUAAUGUUUUGUUGAUUUAGAAUCAUGGACAACUAAUAUACAACAACCAUUUUAGUAAUAUGAUCAACUAAUAUAGGACAAUUAUUUUAGUAAGAUGACCAAUUAAUAUGGAACAAAGAGAGUAUUUUUUGUUCAACUAUACCCUUAGAAAUUAAUUUUUAGAUUAAUUGAACAAGAUUCAAGUAAUCAAGAUUAAACAGAUAAUAUAGUCAUAUUACUCAAUCUAAAUCCCUUAUUAAUUUUUCUUAAGAGUUGUUCAAAUCUAUACAUGCCAACUAUCUUGAGACGAGAAGAGUAGUUGGAGAUUUUUGUCAAUAUACUUCGUGGACUCUGGUGUUUUGCCAUGCAGAUGUUCUACCAAAGUAUUUCAGCACUGAAUGGUUUUUGGACUGUGGCGCAGUCCCGCUUGCAAGAAGGUCUGCAGCACAUUGUGGCCUUUGGUCACCAAAAGAGUACGGUUGUGAUUCUUGGCAUGGAUGGCAGGUAAUUUUGUUAACAUAAGUACCUUUGGGAAGAAUCCUGGUGCGAGUGUGUCGCUUUGUAGUCUUUGUUUCUUUUUUCCAACAUUGUCCCAACUUUCGUGACAAGUGAAUUACAUCUUUGGAAUUGAACUACUAAUGCUUUGGUGCAUUGGAAAUGCAGUUUCUACCGAUGCCUGUUUGGUGCAGCAACUGGUGGGGAGAUGACCCUGUUCGAAUAUCAAUCUUGUUGCGUGCAUGUAACAGUUCCUUUUUCUAUUCACUGCCCUACUUCUGUGGCUUUUGUUUUUGCUGUAUCUAUUUAUGAAUUUGCAGGGGAACAUGGUAGUGACUGUAAAUAUGCUGGCUGUAUAGGUUGUUGGGUUCAUAGAAGUGUGAAUGAGAAAUAGAGAAGAAAUGGUGGAGGAAAAGGAGACACCAAAAUUGGAAAGUGUACUCCUAAUUUGGAAAGCUUACUCUUUCUCGCACAUUGGUGGAAGAAGAGAAUUUUUUAGUGCUUAUAUUGUGAAACACUUACUCCACAUGGUAAGUGAGGCAAGGAAAUAGAGAUGCCUCGCACCGUCGUCGCUCGCUUGGAUUUGAAUUUGGCAAAUGAUCGAUCGAUGAGAUCUAUCUUUUUGGAUAAAUUUUAUUUGACAAAAUCUGAACAAUGAUGAAAAACGCAGGAAAAUAUUUCUGAGUUUUAAUCCUUCAUUUACAUGCAGUAACAGUGACGCGAUGCUACUAUUUUAUGUGAACAGCAACACAGAACAGUUGCACUGCUUCGGAAAUGUUGCAUUGCUUCAGAACUGGUGCACUGUUUUAUGUUACUUAUUGCAUUGCUUCAGAACUGGUGCACUGUUUUAUGUUACUUAACUGAAAUGAUGCACUGGUUGAAUAAACAGAUGCAACCAUUCAGCAAAAGACACACUGAUUCAUCGAAAGAUAUAACUGUUCAGGAAAGGAUGCAAUCUUUGAUAAACAGACAUGAAUUUACAGCAAAGGUGCAACCUUUGGAGUGAACCAUUGCCUCCUUUCUAAAGCGGCAUCUUGUGGCUAUAAAUAACCUGGUUUUUAUCCACAGGUUAGAGAUAGAAAAUACAGAAAUUUUUAGAUUACAAAACAUUCUUAUUGUCUUAAAAAAUACUCCAAGUGUGAUCAUUCAAACCGUGAUUGUGUUCGAAGAAUCCGCCUAUUUAAGGUACCGCUAUAAUCGGAUUUAAGGUCAUUUUAUCCUGGAAGGAAGAUUCCAUAACCUCGGGUACAGUGAGGAGUAUUAAUCCUUAAGGAAAGUCCGUGAACUCGGACGAUUUGGCCUUAAUCAUUUCUGUUUCAUCUUUAUUUUCUGAAAAAUAAAUACACCUCUUGGAAAGGUCUUUUUGAUCUUGUGUUGAGGGUGUUUAAUACUUCAUUGUGUUCUUGUUCAUACUUGAACUCAAGUUGAAGUUGUUGUUCUGUGAUACAGAUUCUACAUACUCGUAUUGUGGAAAAUAACAUAGGUUACUGCUGUGUAUAAUGCCAGAUAACAAAAUCGCUAUGGACGUGUCUGUCAUCUUAGUGCUUGAAGUAUCUACUUAGUUUUGCUUGGGAACUAAACAAGUUGCUGCUUAAAGCCUGUCAAUUAUAUAAAGUUUUCAAUUUUAUACGUCUCAACUAUAGUCAACCUUCAGUCUUUCUAGUCCACAAUCCUGGAGAAAAGAUGCAAGCACUAAAAUAAAUGAACAAAUAGGAAAACUUUACAUUUUAGCUGGUCCGCAAGGUGCUCUAUACCACCAAAAGGCAUCUCAUGAAAUUCAAUGACGAUGUCGCUGGAAUAGUUCAACAAGAACCCCCUGUCUCCACACAAAGGAUUUACUCCUACAGACAAACGAACUGAAGGAGAGCUACUAAGGGGACUAUGUCUUAGCAUAUUUAUUUCAUUAAUCUGUACUCUAAAUAGCACAUCUACAGCAAAACAAAGGUAUUGCUGGCACUAAAUUGAAACACUAGACGUUCUGUGCUACAUACUUGCACAUUUCCAUAUCAGAUACAAAGAAGCAUAUGAAUCCCAUUUUAUAUAGGUAGUAAAUGGUAUUCCUCAUCUAAUAUGUAUGUAAAGCUACUUACAUCGUUCCUCAUAUUAAGAGUGAAAUGGCAUCUAAUUUUGAAGAUAAAGAAAAGGAUAAAAAAAAAUUGAAAAAAACAUUGAUUUUGCUCAUGAAUGGUUUGGUGUGAAAGCAAAAGAGAUGUUUCCACAGUUGCAUUGGAAGUGAAAUCUUUUCCAGAUGAGGAAAAAGAUAAACUUGCACCCUCUCCAUAAUGCUGUGAUAAAUCAAGAGAAAGUGCACACUUCCUUUAUCUUAAUUGAAACACAUUCAUGUUAAGAAAAGAUGGACCCAACACUGUAAUCAAAUGAGAUUGUGGCUGCACGAAAUGAGAAGUUCUUUCUAGUCAUUUCCCGUAAGAAAGUUUUACUAAAUUUGUAGCCUUUGAGAAAUCAAUGCACAAUAAUAUUGUAAGUUGUGUUGUCUGACAAGCAAACAUUUGUCACCAUUUCUUUUAGCAUAUCUGCAUACGCAUAGUUGUGCACCAGUCAGGGACUCCAGUACCAAAGGAGACUGGAAGGAAACAUCAAUAUGACCAUCUGCUCAUAUACUCAAAACACUACAAUGCCUAAGCCAAUCCCAGGAUGCAGCUUGCUUGAUGUGCCUUAUUUUGCAGCUGGAAGUGGACUCACUAGAUUUCAUCUUUACAGUUACAAAAUCAGAACAUAAUCAAAACAGACCAUAGUACCCACAAACACAAGGCAAACUUUCAAAACUUACUGCAAUAAUCAACCAACAGACGUCAAAUUUCAAAGAUUGGCACAUUCAUAUGUGAAAGAGAACAAGGAUAGUCACAAGCAUGUGAAUUGAUUGAGAGCCAGCGGUAUAAUUCUUCAAAUACUACUAGUUACUACAAAAACAAUCAGCAUACAAACAAGUUAACAUACUCCUUCACACCUAUGGAAAGUACCGCAACAAAAUUAUACAAUGAAAGAGCAAUUCCUCGAGAGUUAUCCUGCAGUCUUCAAAAACUAUACAAUUAUUGUAUCCUUCACACCUAUGGAAAGUACCGCAACAAAACUAUACAAUGAAAGAGCAAUUCCUCAAGGUUUAUCCUGCAGUCUUCAAAAACUAUACAAUUAUUGUACUAAAUGAAACAACAAAUCCACAUGUUCAAAAUGCUGUGAUAAAUCAAGAGAAAGUGCACACUUCCUUUAUCUUAAUUGAAACACAUUCAUGUUAAGAAAAGAUGGACCCAACACUGUAAUCAAAUGAGAUUGUGGCUGCACGAAAUGAGAAGUUCUUUCUAGUCAUUUCCCGUAAGAAAGUUUUACUAAAUUUGUAGCCUUUGAGAAAUCAAUGCACAAUAAUAUUGUAAGUUGUGUUGUCUGACAAGCAAACAUUUGUCACCAUUUCUUUUAGCAUAUCUGCAUACGCAUAGUUGUGCACCAGUCAGGGACUCCAGUACCAAAGGAGACUGGAAGGAAACAUCAAUAUGACCAUCUGCUCAUAUACUCAAAACACUACAAUGCCUAAGCCAAUCCCAGGAUGCAGCUUGCUUGAUGUGCCUUAUUUUGCAGCUGGAAGUGGACUCACUAGAUUUCAUCUUUACAGUUACAAAAUCAGAACAUAAUCAAAACAGACCAUAGUACCCACAAACACAAGGCAAACUUUCAAAACUUACUGCAAUAAUCAACCAACAGACGUCAAAUUUCAAAGAUUGGCACAUUCAUAUGUGAAAGAGAACAAGGAUAGUCACAAGCAUGUGAAUUGAUUGAGAGCCAGCGGUAUAAUUCUUCAAAUACUACUAGUUACUACAAAAACAAUCAGCAUACAAACAAGUUAACAUACUCCUUCACACCUAUGGAAAGUACCGCAACAAAACUAUACAAUGAAAGAGCAAUUCCUUGAGGUUUAUCCUGCAGUCUUCAAAAACUAUACAAUUAUUGUAUCCUUCACACCUAUGGAAAGUACCGCAACAAAACUAUACAAUGAAAGAGCAAUUCCUCGAGGUUUAUCCUGCAGUCUUCAAAAACUAUACAAUUAUUGUACUAAAUGAAACAGCAAACCCACAUGUUCAAAAUCAACCAACAGACGUCAAAUUUCAAAGAUUGGCACAUUCAUAUGUGAAAGAGAACAAGGAUAGUCACAAGCAUGUGAAUUGAUUGAGAGCCAGCGGUAUAAUUCUUCAAAUACUACUAGUUACUACAAAAACAAUCAGCAUACAAACAAGUUAACAUACUCCUUCACACCUAUGGAAAGUACCGCAACAAAACUAUACAAUGAAAGAGCAAUUCCUCGAGAGUUAUCCUGCAGUCUUCAAAAACUAUACAAUUAUUGUACUAAAUGAAACAGCAAACCCACAUGUUCAAAAUCAACCAACAGACGUCAAAUUUCAAAGAUUGGCACAUUCAUAUGUGAAAGAGAACAAGGAUAGUCACAAGCAUGUGAAUUGAUUGAGAGCCAGCGGUAUAAUUCUUCAAAUACUACUAGUUACUACAAAAACAAUCAGCAUACAAACAAGUUAACAUACUCCUUCACACCUAUGGAAAGUACCGCAACAAAACUAUACAAUGAAAGAGCAAUUCCUCGAGAGUUAUCCUGCAGUCUUCAAAAACUAUACAAUUAUUGUAUCCUUCACACCUAUGGAAAGUACCGCAACAAAACUAUACAAUGAAAGAGCAAUUCCUCGAGGUUUAUCCUGCAGUCUUCAAAAACUAUACAAUUAUUGUAUCCUUCACACCUAUGGAAAGUACCGCAACAAAACUAUACAAUGAAAGAGCAAUUCCUCGAGGUUUAUCCUGCAGUCUUCAAAAACUAUACAAUUAUUGUAUCCUUCACACCUAUGGAAAGUACCGCAACAAAACUAUACAAUGAAAGAGCAAUUCCUCGAGGUUUAUCCUGCAGUCUUCAAAAACUAUACAAUUAUUGUAUCCUUCACACCUAUGGAAAGUACCGCAACAAAACUAUACAAUGAAAGAGCAAUUCCUCGAGGUUUAUCCUGCAGUCUUCAAAAACUAUACAAUUAUUGUACUAAAUGAAACAGCAAACCCACAUGUUCAAAAUCAACCAACAGACGUCAAAUUUCAAAGAUUGGCACAUUCAUAUGUGAAAGAGAACAAGGAUAGUCACAAGCAUGUGAAUUGAUUGAGAGCCAGCGGUAUAAUUCUUCAAAUACUACUAGUUACUACCAAAAAAUAAAUAAAAUAAAAAUAAAAAUAAAAACAAACAGCCUACUUCACCAAAAACUAAAUAAGGCACACAAGUCAGCUUUCUAUAACAUAAGACAGGAAAUAAUUACUUAGAGCCUGCAAGGGAUUUCAGUUAACAACACUACCGGACCACUGAAUUUAUAUAAACAACUUAAAUCAAGAAAACCAACAAUAUUUGCACAAGUUAUCCUAUUAGCAUCUGUCACGGUUCCAAGUUCAAUCUUCUUCCAUCUAUAACACCCAAAAAGCUGCAGAAGAAACUAAUAUUUAUGCCAAAGUUUAUAAGCUAUCAUAAGUUCAAAAGCAUACCCACUGAAACAAACUUGUUACCAAAACCAACAGCUGAAAAACUAAAAGAAACAUGCCCUGAUCUAUACUUUACAACAAUUACCAAAAUUUGAGAAUACUUGAUGAAUGCAAUACAUUUUAAAGUGGUGCCAAUUACACAAAAUAAUCUCACAGCUUUUUUACUUAUCAAAUUGAGAUAAUAAGAUAAGACAAUGAAUAACCCAAGAGGCCAAAUUUAGACAAUAAGAUUAGAAAAUGAGAUACUUUCUAUGAUAUUUCCAAGCACAUUACACCAAGGUUAUCAAAACAUAACAGAAACCUACAUCCUACUGCUAGAAAUUCCCAUAAAACUAGACAAAAGAUUACUGCAUAUUUAACCCAUACAUAAAACUGCCAAAUCUAUUAGGCCUUCUUUGGUGACUUGGUGGCUCUGGGCGUCGAUGCUUUCUCCUCGGAAGCAGUAGAUUUCUUAGGCAACAGAACUGGGUUAAUGUUGGGGAGAACACCUCCACUUGCAAUGGUAACCCCAGCCAACAAUUUUCCCAGCUCUUCAUCAUUCCUCACUGCCAACAGCAAAUGCCUUGGAAUAAUCCUCGUUUUCUUGUUGUCUCUUGCUGCAUUUCCAGCCAACUCCAACACCUAUUAAAUAAAAUGAAUAGAUUAUUAUAAAAAUCAAUAGAAAAUUACAGAUCUGAGAUAAUUUAUUGGGUUUAUUAUACCUCAGCAGCGAGGUAUUCAAGAACAGCAGCGAGGUAAAUAGGAGCACCAGAUCCAACACGCUGAGCAUAACGACCUUUCUUCAAGAAACGAGCAAUACGACCAACUGGGAACUGAAGACCAGCUUUCACAGACUUAGUUACAGCCUUCUUCCUUGGGCCACCCUUCCUUCCUGCUGCACCUUUGGUUUGCUUAGCAGCAUCCAUUUCGACAAACAAACAAUAAGAUUUGAAGAGAGAAAAUUGCUUCUAGUGAUUUCCGCUUUGAGAAUUGAAUGCUGAUGAAGAAAAUGAAACGGUGGAGUUUGGUAUUUAUAGGAUAGAGAUGGAUUGCCACGCUGGCGAUCCGCGUGAGUGGUAUUGUUCUUUGACGGUGUGGAUUUGUUGUUUUCAUGUUAGAUCGUACGGUUAGGAAAAGCUUAAAAGAUGGCGAUCCGUGGUUAAGGGAAACAGCGAAUGAUUUUGUGACACGCGUAUAUGUUUGGUGAAUUGCAGUAAGAGGUGAAUCGUGCGCGGGGAAUUUGAAUUUUACUAAAUUUAUUUUUUGCGCCUAUUUGUGAAAACUUUCUUAGCAAGAGAAAUAAAUGGGAUAAUUAUUUUUAUUCCUAAUUAAGUGCUAUUUAUAAUUUACCCGUCAAUCUCAAUAUCUCAUAUACAGUCAUUAACGAUUUUGCUCUUGGUUAUUAAAGACCCUAGCUCCUAAACUUUAUUAAUACUAUAACUAAAUUGUGAUUUUGACACCCAUCAACAUAAAAUUUGCAUGAAUAUAAAAUGAUCCUACUCACUAGUUUUUUUCCAUUUUUUAACUAAAUAAAAUUCUUACAAAAUAGCCAAGUAAAUCUUUUUUUAUGUUGAUAAGAAUUAGAGCAUAAAAGGGAUUUUGUCUAAUUUGGAUGCUUAUUUAGGAGGUGUCAAAAAGACUUAUCAGUAAUUUGAGAUCUUAAUAAAAUGAUUAUAUAAUUUAUUCAAUAUUAGGUAUAAAUAUAAAUCAAUGUUAUUAAACCUUACAGGGAGAAUUCAGAUAACUUAAGCAUUUCAUAAAGGCAUAAUAUUAUCAUCAAGUGAUAGAGAUAUAAAGGCAACACAAUGCACUAAACUUCUCAUUGUGUGCGAGGUUAACACAGAAAAUCUUAAAAUAGUAAAAUGUCAUAAUUGAGAUCGGAACUUGUGAUGGAUCUGUUUGGCACUUUUUGUCAUGUCAUAGGUAUAAAUUUCAUAUACUCGAACUUCAACUUGCAAGAUAUCGCUAUUUGAUUUAGACCACUUCAAAUCUCCUCGCCUUGACAACCUAUCACAGUAGAAUAAAUGAAUAUCUAGACAGUAGGGGUGUGCAAAAACCAAAUUGACCGAUAAAAAUGCUAUUGGGUUAUUGGUUAAACCGAUAAUCUAAUAAGGAUACAUUAAGUUAUUGUUUUACCCCUAUUUAUGUUAUAUAUAUAUAUAUAUAUAUAUAUAUGGAGUCUAAUACUUCUAACCAUGUUUGGAAAAUUCCGUUAGUUUUUCAAAGUUUGAAGUAUUUAGUAGCUUCCGACAAUUAGGAUUCAUUUUUUUUUUCGAACCAACAUUCAGUUCAAGUUUGAAGAUUCUUGUAAACUAAAAUGCAUUGCGUAGGAUUUUGGCGGUAACUAAGAUUUCAUUUUUUUGAUAUUGGUUGUUACUAUUUCUAUUUUAAAUGUAUUUUCUUAUUGGUUAAACCAAAAAUCGAACCGUUAAAGACUAAAAAUCAAUGAACCGAAAACUGAUAAGAAAAUAUCUUAUUGGUUGGUUAUUGGUUUUACAAAUUGAAAAACCGAUAAAUCAAACUAAUAACAUGUAAAACCGAACCGACCAAUGCACGCCCCUACUAACCAAGUACUUCUUUUAACAUCUCGUAUUACAUUGUUAAUUUUGUGGUAUGUAUCAAUAGAGACGCAAUAUGUAAGGAUAACUUUAAUAUGACUUUUAUCUUAUUUCUCUUUUUCUUUAUGCUCUUACUUAUUUGAUGUUUCCUCCCUUUUAAUUCAAGUAUCUAAUCAUUGCGUAGGAUUUUGGCGGUAACUAAGAUUUCAUUUUUUUGAUAUUGGUUGUUACUAUUUCUAUUUUAAAUGUAUUUUCUUAUUGGUUAAACCAAAAAUCGAACCGUUAAAGACUAAAAAUCAAUGAACCGAAAACUGAUAAGAAAAUAUCUUAUUGGUUGGUUAUUGGUUUUACAAAUUGAAAAACCGAUAAAUCAAACUAAUAACAUGUAAAACCGAACCGACCAAUGCACGCCCCUACUAACCAAGUACUUCUUUUAACAUCUCGUAUUACAUUGUUAAUUUUGUGGUAUGUAUCAAUAGAGACGCAAUAUGUAAGGAUAACUUUAAUAUGACUUUUAUCUUAUUUCUCUUUUUCUUUAUGCUCUUACUUAUUUGAUGUUUCCUCCCUUUUAAUUCAAGUAUCUAAUUUAUAUUUAUUUAUUUUGUUUGUUUUCUAAAAAAAAUGUAUAUUUAGUAAUAUUUUAAUUUUAAUAUUUUAUAUGAUUUAUUUAAAAUCAUAAGAUUCAAAAAGAUCUUUUGAUCCAUUACAUAUAUCUUUGAUUAAAACUAAAAGGAAUAGAAAAACUCCCUUAUUUUCUCAAUUCAUGUAUCUAGCCAGACAUCACACUUGAAUUACAGUUAAAAUAAUACGUAGUUUAUGAUCUUUUAAACCUUCUAUCCUAUUUUUCUAGUUAACUCCAACAUUAGGUAUUCGUCGGUUAUAAAUGGUUAAUGUUAAUAAUUGAUGGUAGUGGUUGAAGAAUGUAUGGUAGUUGAGGGUAAUAAUAGUUGUAAUCAUAGAGGUGGUUGGGUGUUAGUUGAUAAUGGUGGUGAGGUGGCAGCAACGACAUUGACAUUGGUGGUGUUGGCUAAAGAAAAUACGGUGGUAGACGAUGUAUUUAUGGUAGUUAACCGCAAUUCUAAUUGUGAUAAUGGGGUGGCUAAUUGUAGGGAUUGAUCAUAAUAAUGACGGUGGCUGAUAGCGAUAGCAACAGUGAGAACGACAAUAUAUAUCGUUAUAAUGAUAGAGGUAGUAAGCAUUGUAGCAGCUAUUGACAAUGAUAUUUGCAUGUGGUGGUACUUGUCUGUGGUAGUUGUGCUGGCGGAGGUUGCCGAUUUGUGGUGGUGUCUCAAUGAUGAAAAUUGUGGUUGACAGUAGUAGUAGCUAAUAAUUAUGGUAAGAGUGGUGAUAAAAAAUAUCAAUAUAAAAAUACUUUUUGAUGAUAUUAAGACCUAUUAAGGGUUGAAUCUAAGUGAAUUGAAUGCAUCAUUAAUAAAUGUACUCAAUGAUCUAAUAUAUGGAUGACUCAAAUUCAGACAUUCAUUAAGUGAAAACAAAUACAAGUAACUUAAAUCUCAACAAAAACAAAUAUAUAGUAGCUCAAAUUCAACUCAUCAAGUGCAAAUAUAUUGGGUGAUCAUGGUUUGGUUUUUAAUUAAUAUCAAAUUGAAACCAAUUUAGUCAAUUUUUAAAUUUCUAAAACUGCGUCGAACUUUAAUAAAAUAAAAUCUUUGAUUUGGUUGUUGUUGGUUUUGUUCGAUUUUCAAUUUAGCUAAUGAUAAAUUGAUAAUACUAAACCAACAGAGAAAUGAGAUGGCUCUUUCAAAUGAACAUUAGGACUCAACAACAUUCUCUCUAACAUCACAAGUUAAAUGUGUUCAAAUCUUUUCUUAGUUUUCAAUAGUAUUUUAAAACUUUAACAUGUUUAAGUUGUAUAACUAUAGAUGUUUUCCCAUUUCACAUGUCUAACAUCCACUAAAUGUACAAUUUUAAAUAAAAUGAUCAAGCCGUAAAAAAACAAAGGGGCAAGCUGCUGGAGAUGGAUAUUUUUAGCAAAUAAAAAUAAAAAUCAUUAAUACACCACACCACACCACAUAUAUACAUUUGGACUUAGACUACAUUUAUUUUUAUUAAGAUCAAGACGUCUGAAUCUGAAUGUAUAUCUGAAUAAUUAAGAUUUUUGUCUCUAAAUUUGAAAUUGAAUGAUUAAAACUGUUUAUCUUUUCAAUAUUUGAAUAUGCAUAGCUUAUUUAUUUGUAAACAUAAUAAAUAUAUAAUUUAAUUAAUUAAUUAGUCAAAUCUUAAAAAAAUAUCAAUCUAAUAAAGUGUAAUAAUUAUUUAAUAAAAAAAUUAUAUUUGCCAGUGACGAUGGAGAUGAUUUGUAAUGACAAUGGUGGUCAUAAUAGUUGGUGUUAGUGGAUAAAAGUGGUGGUGAUAAUAGUUAUGGUGGUGAAACUGGCUAGUUUUUGUAGUGACUGUCGUAUAUGAUAGCAUUUGAUAGUGAUGGGGUGGUUGUGAUGUGAAGUUGAUUGAUGUUAGUAGUUGGAGAUGUUGAUAGUGGUGGUUGACAUAUGUAUGUAUGAUGAUUGACAAUGUUCCAAUGGUAAUUGGAGACCCUGUUAGUGGUUGAUAAUUAUGGUAAAGGUAGUGACACCAAUGACAAUAAUGAUGAUAGUGGGCUGAUUUUGGUGUAUUUAUACGCCUAAGCACCAUAACUUAUCCAUAUUUUAGCUAAGUUUAGAGAACAAAGUGCGUAGUUUCUUAUGUUUUUACUCUACUUCUAUGUAAUUGAGCUAACUGAUGUGAUUAGCAUGAUUUCAAGUAUUAAUGAGGUAGAUGAAGACAUAAUGGGACUAUGAAAUGCGGAUGACAUAUGACACAAGAGAGAGUAGCAAUCUGGACCAAAUGUGGCACCUAGAAACUAUGUCCAAGACUAAUUUAUCAUUUAUAAUUAGUUCAGGCACUUAGAAGGAAAUUAUGAGAGAAGAGAUUAUUAAAAGACUUAAUUGUUGAAUUUUUAUUCACAAUUCAUUAUUCUGUAUUAUUCUGAGAGAGGAGAAAGACGGCUUAGCUUGAGGAAAGAGAGAGAAAUAUUUUUCUCUCUUAUUUUUACUAUUCGCACACCAAGAUCGUCUUCUAAUUUUUGGUAUGAUGAAUAUAUUUAUGAUGCUUUUCGUUUUAUUCAUGAGUAACUAAGUUUAUUAGUUAGGGUUAUGGAAGACUUGUAGUAUACAAUCUAUCACUCUGGGUUUUGAAUUCAUUAUGCAUUGAUUUGUUUACAUCAUACUCUCUUCGCUUAUCUUGAAUUCUCGUGGUUGCAAACAUAGAGGAUAUGCCUUAAAACGCAACUUGUUCGAAAGAAAGGUUGAUGUUCGGAAAAGAGAGUAGUGAUAAGAAAAUAGUAUUACCAACCCCUAUUUUAUAAGUUAAUACCUUAGCAAGAUUAACUACUUGGAGAUUUCAUAUUUUUUUUGGUGAACGCUUUUGAUUCGAGAGAACUAAAGUGAAUUAGUCCUUGAUGGUUGAGAAACACCAGGACUAUGUUAUUAAAUACAAUACAUUUCUCUGUAAGCUUGAUCCAUGUAUGAAUUCAUAAAGCCCAUAGUUAGUAAGUAUUGAAAACUACAAGGUGGACAUAACCCUAGCUUGCUAUUUCUCUGAAUUUGAAUACUACUACACAUAUUUCAUCUUGUUAAACUAAAACCAUUAAUUUGUGAACUGAAUCAAAUUUCCCCUAUUUAUUUUACGUAAACGAACUAUUAAAAGUCAACUAAUCUGCAUACAACUUAAUUAACACCAUAUUCCCAAUGGGAUUCUACCCCAACCUAGUUGGGUUAUAUUUGACAAUGACCGCUUACUCUCUCGUAAGAGAGGUGUAAUUUGGACGUAUCAUGGGCGAAGAAUGUGUAAAGAUUGAUGAUGUAUUAAUGGUAUUUGACGGUGAUACUAGUUGUGAUAGAUGAGUUAGUUGGUGGUAAGGAUUGACCCGACAGUGGUUGAUGGUGGUGACGGUGGAGAUAAUUAGAAAAAUGAAAGUGGUAUGUGAGGUAGCGUCCACCAGUAAUGCUUGGUAGUAGUUUUGGUUGUCAAUGGUGAUUGUGAUGGUAAAUGUGGUGGUGACUGGUGAUGGCAGAGAUGGUUAGUGGUGGUGACUGGUGAUUGUGGAUAGAAUGGUGAUGAAUAUUAUCCAUCACAAGAAUAUCUUUUAAUAAUAUUAAGACUUGGUUUAUAUCUAAAUGACUCUGACCUAUCUAGACAUAUUAAAAGUUAAAAUCUUAAUAAAAACAAGCGCACUCAAUGGUUUGAGGUCUGAACCAUUCAGACCUCCAUUAAGUGCAAACAAAAGAAGCCUUAGAUUCUUUUGUCUAUACGAGAUGAAAUCAUGCAAUUUCGAUACAGAUUCUCAAUAAAUAAGUAAAAGUUCACAAUAAAGUAUCAUACAAUAUCACAAAGUUAUUCUAAAAUAGUACAACAUUUAUUGAUUAAAUUUUAGUUCAAUAAAAAAUAAAAUUGAACAUGAGUUGUAGUGUAGUAUUGUUUUUUAACUUAAUUCCGCACACAAUACAGACAAACUCCUCACAUUGAAUAUGCAUUCUCAAUUAGAUAACAGAGAUGGACCAAAAUUGUUACUUUGAUCCAUUUGUUGGUCAAUAUCAUCAAUAACUAAAUCAUCAUAGCUGUAUUUUAUGAUUUUUCAAGAAGGACAAGUAACCGUUUAAAAAUCGUCAAUUCAAUAACUCAAUGUUGAUAAAUCAAUAACAUUUUUUGAUUCGAUCUUUGCAUGACAAAUUACAUUUGAAUAAAAUGGUUGGUUGAUAUAGAAUGUUUUUUUUUUUUUACAAAUCAUAAACUUAUGUGUUGUUAUAAAUGUAUUUACAUUAUAGUGAAUGCCUAUCAAGAUCUAUUAAGAUCUACUUUGAUAUCUAUUAGGAUUUGAAGCAUCCGUCUUUUACUCAGACGAGGAGUAAAUUUCCCCUAUAAAUAGAGGGGUUUUAUUCAUUGUAUUGACAAUCUUAUGAUCUCUCAUCCUUCAAAGAGAAAAAAUAAGAAUAACUCUCUCUAUUCUCUCUACUCUUCUUCUUGUUCUUUCUUAUUUUAUAACACGUUAUCAACACGAAGUUGUAACCAAUUGAGUAAUAAUUGAGAUAAAGCCGCCCAAAAUGUGAUCUGUCAAUUGCUCAACAUGCUUGAGGUAUUAUUUUUCUUUUAAUAAUUCCUCAUGAGGUAUGAUUUCUUUUAUUAAAUAAUUCCUUUAUUUUGUUCCGAUAUGGCAAAGAGCAAUAGAUCCACGAUUGGGACAAUGCACUGUUUUAAUAUUUACAUUACUGCUACUUUGAAAGAAAAAAAAAACUAAUUAAUACUUCAUUGAAUAAUUUUGAUUUGAAAAGAAGAAAUAUAAAAGAGUUACAUGCAAAGGUCCAUGCAUAUCUAAAAUUGCGUGAUGCGGUAGAUUGAUUGAAAAUUUCUUCUCUCUGUCUGCGUAUGCUUUACACAUUUUAUAUAUUUUUAUAUUAUAUUAUUAUAUCAUAUCUAUUGACAUUAACUCUUCUAUAUAAUUCAAGGUCAGUAAUUUCUUAUGUUAUCUGUAUUUUGUUACUAAUAAUAUAAUUAUUGUUGGAUUUGAGGAAAAAUAAUUGGUUUGGAACCAUUUAUGUUUAAAAUUUAUUCCUCAAGAACAAUAUUGUCAAAAAAAUAAUAAUAUAUUGGGUUCAAGUCCCAUCGAUUCAUGCCUAAGACGUCUUUAUAUGGAUCAAAUAUUGAGUUUGAAUCUCAAUACACCAUAUUGAUGAUAGUGUGAUGGACAAGGCAAAAUGAUGGGUGUUUGAUGAAAAGUCAUGAAAUUCGACCCAUUGAAUAUGCUCCAUUCCAUGAAGUGAAGGUGGUAGCAAUACAUGAUAAGUCUGAAGUAUGACAACUCACUUCCGAAUGAGGAAGAAUAAUUGAUUGAUUGUGAUGGUAUCACAACUCACCUCCGAAUGAGGAAGAAUAACUGAGAAUUGAUUGUGAUGGUGUCACAACUCACCUCCGAAUGAGGAAGAAUAAUUGAGAAAAAUUAUUUUGAAAUCUACUUCUAAAGUAGUAAAUCUGAAAUUUAUUCAUAUAAUAGUAAAUCUGAAAUUUACUAAAGCAAAAACACAUAUCAUGGUAAACUUGGAGUUUACUAGAAUAAACGUUCAUAAAUUGACAUGAAUGAUUGCGAUAUCUCGAAGAUAUGCAUACUGAGUAUUGAACAUAUAUAGAAGAAUUAGAAAAUUCUUUAUGAACUUGCUUGUUCUCAUCAUAAGUUGGUUGAACCAACUAAUUUUGAUAUUGGAUCCCUCAAAAUCUGAAAAGUAUAAAAGGUGAAUAAGGGUCCGUUCACCUAUCAUGUGAUAUGUUGAAAAGAUGCAUCAAUAAGAUGAUCACAUGUGCCUUCAUGGUCAACCUACGUUUGAUAUUCAUAAAGUUACUUGUUCAAUAUAAAUUGAGUAUGGUUUUCAGAUUGUGUAAUCAAGAUAAUUCAUCUUGAUGAUGAUGGUUUAGCAUUGAAUGCCUUCCAUAAAUAGUUGAACCAUUACUAAUGAGAACAAAGUUUCCUGCAUUGGUGUGAAAUAUGAUAUAUUGCAUACAAUAACACUUGUAUGCAUUAGACCAAUAUAUUAUGAUUAUUUCUCCCCUCUCAAUUGGUUCAAGGUCAGGAACCAACUAUUCCAUCUAAUAGUUUUGAUGUGCGGUAUAUGAUUAAUAAAUAUACCAUGAUGCAUAAAGAUGGAUUCCUUAAAGAAGACGAAGGAUGUAUGUUAGUUUUCCUACCAUAAGGGGGAGAUUAUAAGCAGCUAUGAAAUAUGUUAGGAAUUAUCAUCAGAUCCUCAUUCAAAAGAUAAUUCAAGUCAAAUGUCGAAAGCAUCUCAUAUUUAGCUGCAAGUGCUCCUAUUUUAUGUCCUUAGAGGAUAAAGUCUAUGUAUGCAUGAAGUAUGAUAGACCAAUUGGUUCCAAAUGAAAUAAUCUUUGAAAAGGAUAUGGAGCAAAUAAUCAUAAUAAGAAGACAAUGAGCCCUUGAAGAGCCUACGAUAUAACACUUCAUGAAACCUUAUGAGAGGUUCAUGUACCUGAAAUAAUGAAGUAAUGAGAUCUCAAAAUGCUAUGUCGCAUUGUGAACCGAUACUAAGUGAUAUAUCAUCAAUAUAUUUGACACAAUAUUGGCGCAAUAUUGUGAAAGAUUACGAGGAUCUUAAUUCUACGUUAAUUUAAGUAUGCAGAUGUAGAAAUAUUUAUCAAGUGACAUGAAAGGAUGCAUCUUGGUAAGUAUUAAACUUAUUUGAUUUGCAAUCCAAAUAUUUGAAGACGUCACUCAUGAAAUGUUGAAUAUUGUCACUUGAUAAAACUUAUGUGAAAAACUUCUUCAAGGAUUCAAAAUAUAAAAGUUUUUGGGAAACUUAUUGAUAAUCCUUAUAUUGUAUAAGCUUAUAGCUUGAAAAUUAUUGAAAUUCUUGGAGAGUUUUCAAAAGCAAUAAGAUUAUUUGCUGAAAUAAGAAAUAUACCAAUUUGGAUUGGUUAUGAAGUACCAUAUAUUAGUACAAUUGAUGCACUUAUGUAUCUUGUAAUACUACAAGACCCAAUAUAGCCUUUUGCUCAAUUUGUUAGCAAGGUAUAUUUCUACUCCUACUAGGAGACAUUGAAAUGGGAUAAGAUACAUGAGUUUAUUUUAUUCUAAAGAUUGCAGUCUCAAUCUUAUUGGUCAUGCUGAUAUUGGGUACUUAUCUGACCCGCAUAAAGCUCGGUCUCAAAUAGGCUAUGUGUUCAUAUGUGGUGGUACUGCAAUAUCUUGGAGAUAUACAAAGCAGUCUAUCAUAGUCACUUCAUUGAAUCAUGCUGAGAUAAUAGCUAUUCAUGAAGCAAGCCGAGAAUGUGUAUGGUUGAGGUCCAUGAUACAUCUCAUUCAAGAAAAAUGUGGUGUGAAAUAUGACAAUCUACCCACAAUUUUAUACAGAGAUAAUUCAGCAUACAUAGCACAUCUUAAGGGAGGAUUCAUAAAUGGAGAUAAAACAAAGCACAUUUUGUCAAAGCUUAUCUACAUACAUGAGCUACAAAAGAAUGAUGAUAUUAACGUGCAACGGAUUCGGUCAACUGUCAAUGUGACUAUUUAUUCACCAAAUCUUCUCCAAUUGCAACUUUUCAGAAGAUGCUGCACAAGAUCGAGAUGUAAAGGUCAAGGAUGUUCUCAUCAGGGGGAGUUAAUAUGCGCUGUACUCUUUUUCCCUUAUGAGGUUUUGUCCCAUUGGGUUUUCCUUGUAAGAUUUUUAAUGAGGCAGCCGAAAUACGUAUUAUUAGAGAUGUGUACUCUUUUUUCCUCACUAGAUUUUUUUCCUACUUGGUAUUUUCUAGUAAGGUUUUAACGAGGCACAUUAUUUACCAAUUAGACAUUCAAAGGGGAGUGUUAUAAAUGUAUUUACAUUAUAGUGAAUGUCUAUCAAGAUCUAUCAAGAUCUACUUUGAUAUCUAUUAAGAUUUAAAACAUCUGUCUUUUACUCAGACGAAGAGUAAAUUUUCCCUAUAAAUAGAGGAAUUUUGUUCACUGUAUUGAUAAUCUUAUGAUCUCUCAUCCUUCAAAAAGAAGAAAUAAGAAUAACUCUCUCUAUUCUCUCUACUCUUCUUCUUGUUCUUUCUUGUUUUAUAACAUGUGUCAAAUUUUAAAUUUUUAAAAUUUGAUAUCAUGAUAUAAAAUUUCAUUUUUUUCUGAGAGUUUUGGUAUUUUUGGUCUAAUGAUUUGAAAUUAUGAGAUAAAAUCGCAUGUCUAAAUGCUGAUUUUAUCUCAUGAUUUCAAGUCACGAGAUGAAAUCAUAUUUCUAAAGGCACAUAUGUUUUAAGAAGAAAUUUAAAAAUCUUGCAAUAUAUGUAUAAAAAUAUUUAUAAAAAAAACUAAUAUCAUUCAUGUAUUCAAAUUAUGAAAUUUAUUCAUAUAAUUUAUUUGUUCAAUAUCCUUCUUUCAUUUUCAGCUAAAUCAAAAUCUAAACGAAACCAAAUAUUGUUAGAUUUUUAAAAUUUUAAACCAAACAACAAAUGUCCCCUUUAAAAAAAAAAAUCAUUUGGUUUGAUUUUUGAUUGUAGCAAAAAGAUGUAUCCUAAAAUGACUAAACGACGUCGUACAUAUAUUUCCAGCGUUUAAUUUAGGCGGGGCAAUUGGCGCGGAUCCAAUUUGCGUUUGUUUAACGGUAGGGUUCUCACUCUUCUUCUCCGUAGAAAGGUAAUCUCAUUGUCCCCUAUAAUAUUCGCAAUUAAGCACACUAAUCAGAUCGAUGGAGUAUUAUUUAGAACUAAUGCUAUUGGUAAAUUCCAUCUUAAAUUAAAAAAUAUUGAUCAAUUAGUAGUGUUAGGGAAAUUUGAACACCUAAUAUUACUUGGCGAUAAUUGGGUGAUUAUGAAAGUAAAAUGUCUAGUUUGAAAAUCUUUUAUUUAUUCAUAUUCUUGAUUGAAUUUAGAGAAUAAUUAGAUUAUCAGUGUUAUUUUAAGUGAUUGCAGCAUGAAAAUUACUACUCCAUCCGUUCAGUUUUAAUUGUCAUGUUUGGCUUCUCGAAAGUCAAAAUUGUAUGAACUUUGACCAAUUUAUUUUCUCAUUAUAUUAAUAUAGUUUUUGAAUAUCUUUAAAUUUUAAAAUAUUGAAUUAACCUAAUUCAAUUUAGCUCCGAAGAUUAAUCAAAUUGGCUCUCUUGAAGCAAUAUGUGAAGAGUAAAAUUGAAUGGAGGAAGUACUGUGUUUUUUAUACCUAAACGUCAAUGUAGCUGUAUGUGAGUUUUUUUCACUAACUUCAGAAGUUUACAAUUUGCUUGAUUUCACUUCAAUGUGGAAUCUCUGAUUUUUUCUGUGUAUGUGUAGUCUUAGCCGCAUUGUUGUUGAAGCAAUUAUUAGAGCGAAAUUAAAUGGACCCAGACCAAGUUGUUGCUGAAUUGGUUGGAAUGGGAUUUGAGUUAUCUGAUAUUACAAAUGCUAUAGAAGUUGUGGGUCCAUCAAUUGAUGCUGCCAUUGAUUAUCUACUCGAUGAUUCUCGAAGAGACACUGCGAGUGCAUCAACUAGUAAUUCACGUUUCACCAGUCAUGCCGGUCCUCUGGGAAAAAGAGGCCCCAAUUCUACAUCGCGUGCUGCAGGCAAAAUACGACAAUCAAGCAUAAAUGAAUUCGUUGAAUCAGCUGGUAGACCUAAAAGAAGCAAGACAAUGAAUAAGUUGGAUCUGUCUCAAUCAGAAGUCCUGCAAAGAGAUACCAAAGAUCGAAAUGUGCAUCCUCCUAUAGAGGAUUCUGAUCUCCGCAUUGCAACUGAAAAGGCUGUAUUAUCAUCUUAUAGCAAAGAUGAAGAUGUUGGACCAGAUUGGCAAAAGAAGGUUGAGAAUUUGUUGCAGAAGCACUUUGGAUUUUCAUUGUUGAAGGAUUUUCAGAAAGAAGCUCUGGAAGCUUGGUUAUCUCACCGUGACUGUCUUGUUCUUGCAGCAACAGGAUCAGGUAUUAGCCUUUCAUACUUUUCCUUCGCCAUUCUCCCUCUUCCUGUAAAAUACGAUUUUUCGGUGUCUCAGAGUUAUGUUUCUGUAGGGCAAUCUUUGUGUUUUCAGAUUCCUGCAUUGCUGACCGGGAAGGUUGUCAUUGUUAUAUCACCUUUGAUUAGCUUGAUGCAUGAUCAGUGCUUGAAGUUAGCAAAUCAUGGUGUUUCUGCUUGCUUCCUUGGAUCUGGUCAAACUGAUCGAAGUGUUGAACAAAAAGCAAUGUCAGGCAUGUAUAGCAUCAUUUAUGUAUGCCCUGAGACAAUUUUAAGGUAUUGAGCAUGUACUCUUGAAUGGUACUUCAAGGAUAGUGUUGGCUGUUAUUGACAAAUGAGUUCCUGACUUUGUUUUUUUCCAGACUCAUUAAACCCCUCCGAAGCCUCGCAGAAAGUCGUGGAAUUGCUCUAUUUGCAAUCGAUGAAGUUCAUUGUGUUUCGAAGUGGGGUCAUGAUUUUCGGCCAGAUUACAGGUUUAUGUUCUUUUGGUUAUCUCUCAAAAGUGUAACCUAACGGCUCUCAUCUCUCUCUAACGGCUCUCUCUCUUCCUCCCUACCCCCUCUCUCGCUAGCUCCGGUCACCGGCCCCCGUCGUCGUCGCCGACCCGACCCAACCUCCGGGCCCGACCUCCGGCGNNNNNNNNNNNNNNNNNNNNNNNNNNNNNNNNNNNNNNNNNNNNNNNNNNNNNNNNNNNNNNNNNNNNNNNNNNNNNNNNNNNNNNNNNNNNNNNNNNNNNNNNNNNNNNNNNNNNNNNNNNNNNNNNNNNNNNNNNNNNNNNNNNNNNNNNNNNNNNNNNNNNNNNNNNNNNNNNNNNNNNNNNNNNNNNNNNNNNNNNNNNNNNNNNNNNNNNNNNNNNNNNNNNNNNNNNNNNNNNNNNNNNNNNNNNNNNNNNNNNNNNNNNNNNNNNNNNNNNNNNNNNNNNNNNNNNNNNNNNNNNNNNNNNNNNNNNNNNNNNNNNNNNNNNNNNNNNNNNNNNNNNNNNNNNNNNNNNNNNNNNNNNNNNNNNNNNNNNNNNNNNNNNNNNNNNNNNNNNNNNNNNNNNNNNNNNNNNNNNNNNNNNNNNNNNNNNNNNNNNNNNNNNNNNNNNNNNNNNNNNNNNNNNNNNNNNNNNNNNNNNNNNNNNNNNNNNNNNNNNNNNNNNNNNNNNNNNNNNNNNNNNNNNNNNNNNNNNNNNNNNNNNNNNNNNNNNNNNNNNNNNNNNNNNNNNNNNNNNNNNNNNNNNNNNNNNNNNNNNNNNNNNNNNNNNNNNNNNNNNNNNNNNNNNNNNNNNNNNNNNNNNNNNNNNNNNNNNNNNNNNNNNNNNNNNNNNNNNNNNNNNNNNNNNNNNNNNNNNNNNNNNNNNNNNNNNNNNNNNNNNNNNNNNNNNNNNNNNNNNNNNNNNNNNNNNNNNNNNNNNNNNNNNNNNNNNNNNNNNNNNNNNNNNNNNNNNNNNNNNNNNNNNNNNNNNNNNNNNNNNNNNNNNNNNNAGUGGGGGGCGCGUGGAUAGCGACGGUAGGCUGAGGGUUGGGUCUUGGAAUAUAGGGACCCUUCAGGGGAAGUCCAUAGAGCUGGUGAAGAUUCUUAGGAAGAGAAGGAUCAACCUUGCGUGUGUCCAAGAGACCAAGUGGGUAGGGUCUAAGGCUAGGGAUGUGGACGGUUACAAGCUGUGGUACUCUGGGAGCGACAGGCGUAGGAAUGGAGUUGGCAUCUUGGUAGAUGAAGAGCUUAGAGGUCAGGUAGUGGAGGUGAAGAGGAUCAACGAUAGGUUGAUGACUAUCAAGUUGGUCAUUCGGGGGUUUACCCUGAACGUGUGUAGUGCCUAUGCGCCGCAUGUGGGAUCGGAGGGGGAGGAGAAGAUGCGGUUCUGGGAGGCCUUGGAGGACGUGGUGAGAGGCGUGCCCAGUUCGGAGAAGAUUGUGGUAGCAGGGGAUUUCAACGGGCACAUCGGGGCGCUACCGGGAGGCUUUGGGGAUGUGCAUGGAGGUUUUGGUUUUGGGGAGAGAAAUGAAGAGGGGGCGACCCUAUUGGAGUUUGCGAGGGCGUUUGGGCUGGUGGUGGUGAACUCGGGCUUCCCGAAGAAGGACGACCACCUGAUCACUUUUCGGAGCGCGGUAGCCAGGACCCAGAUUGACUUCUUGUUGCUUAGGAAAGGGGAUAGGGCGCUGUGUAAAGAUUGUAAAGUCAUCCCGAGUGAGAACCUUUCGACCCAACAUAGGCUCUUGGUUAUGGAUUUGGGUAUGAAGAAGAAUAAAAAGAGGAGGAGUAAGGAGUGUAGACCGAGAAUUAAGUGGGGCGGUUUGACGCCAGUGAAUGCGUGGGAGAUAGGGGAGAGGUUGGCGGGAAUGGGGGUGUGGGAGUGUAGGGGGGACGUGGAUAAUAUGUGGGACAGGGCGGCAGCGUGCAUCAGGGAAAAUGCAAGGGAGGUGUUGGGUGUUUCUAGGGGCCGGGCCGGACAUCAUCGGGGGGAUUGGUGGUGGAAUGAAGAGGUGGGGAAGAAAGUGGAGACCAAGAAAGAGUCGUAUGCUAAGUUGGUGGAAAGUAAGGACGAAGAGGAGAAGCGGGUAAACAGGAAAGAGUACAAGCUAGCGAGGAAGGAGGCGAAGUCAGCGGUCACGGCAGCUAAGACGGCUGCUUUUGAGAGCUUGUAUGCAGGGUUACAGGGGAAAGGAGGGGAGAAAAAGUUGUUCCGACUCGCUAAGGCUAGGGAGAGGAAGGGUCGUGACCUCGAUCAGGUGAGGUGCAUUAAGGGGGAGGACGGUAGAGUGUUGGUGGAGGACGGCCACAUUAAGAAGAGAUGGCAGUCAUACUUUCAUUGGCUCUUGAAUGACGAAGGAGAUAUAGCUAUUGUGUUAGGGGAACUGGAGCACUCAGAGGAGUGUCGGGAUUUUAGCUAUUGUAGACGUUUUAAGGUAGAAGAGGUUAGACAGGCUGUCCGCAGGAUGCGAAGGGGUAGGGCGACGGGGCCGGAUGAGAUACCGGUGGCGUUUUGGAAGUUCGUUGGAGAGGCUGGUGUAAGGUGGUUGACUGGAUUGUUUAAUGAAAUUUUCAGGACGGCAAAGAUGCCCGAGGCGUGGAGGUGGAGUACCAUGAUCCCUCUCUAUAAGAAUAAGGGGGACAUUCAGAGUUGUAAUAACUAUAGGAGGAUUAAGUUAUUGAGUCACUCGAUGAAAAUCUGGGAGAGAGUGAUCGAGGUGAGGCUGAGACGGAUAGUGUCUAUUUCGGAGAACUAGUUCGGAUUUAUGCCCGGCCGCUCGACGACGAAGGCAAUCCACCUGGUACGGAGGUUAGUGGAGCAGUAUAGGGAGAGGAAAAAGGAUCUGCACACGGUGUUUAUCGACCUGGAGAAGGCUUACGACAAAGUCCCCAGGGAGGUGCUUUGGAGAUGCUUGGAGGUGAGUGGGGUACCGCUGACAUAUAUCAGAGUAAUUAAGGAUAUGUAUGAUGGAGCGAAAACCCAGGUGAGGACGUUGGGAGGAGACUCGGAGCAUUCACUGUCCUGACAGGAUUGCAUCAGGGAUCUACUCUUAGUCCCUUUUUGUUUGCGUUGGUGAUGGAUGUGUUGACGCGGCGUAUUCAAGGGGAGGUGCCGUGGUGUAUGCUUUUUGCAGACGAUGUAGUUCUGAUAGAUGAGACUCGAGGGGGUUUGAAUGACAAAAUAGAGGUGUGGAGGCGAACUCUUGAGUCUAAAGAGUUCAGGGUGAGCAGAAGCAAGACAGAGUAUGUGGAAUGCAAGUUUAAUGACGUGAGGCGGGAGAAUGAGGUAGUAGUGAAGCUGGAAGCUCAGGAGGUAUGUAAGAGGGACAAGUUCAAGUAUCUUGGGUCCGUGAUCCAGAGUAACGGUGAGAUUGACGAGGAUGUCUCGCACCGUAUUGGAGCGGUAUGGAUGAAGUGGAAACUCGCGUCGGGGGUGCUGUGUGAUAAGAAGGUCCCCCCAAGCUUAAAGGCAAAUUCUACAGGGUGGUAGUCCGUCCGGCCUUGUUGUAUGGAGCGGAGUGUUGGCCAGUUAAGAACUCCCACAUCCAAAAAAUGAAGGUGGCAGAAAUGCGGAUGUUGCGCUGGAUGUGUGGACUGACUAGAGGGGAUAGAGUUCGGAAUGAGACUAUCCGGGAGAAGGUUGGUGUGACUUCAGUGGAGUGCAAGAUGCGGGAAGCACGAUUGAGAUGGUUCGGACACGUGAAGAGGAGGGGCAUGGAUGCCCCGGUCCGUAGGUGUGAGAGGCUAGCGUUGGAUGGUUUUAGGCGGGGUAGGGGUAGGCCGAAGAAGUACUGGGGUGAGGUGAUUAGGCGGGACAUGGAACAGUUACAGCUCACCGAGGACAUGACCCUAGAUAAGAAGGUCUGGAGGGCGCGAAUUUCGGACUUGGUGGGGGUUUUAUUCUUGUCAUGAUUCCGUGUUCCGUGUUCCAUGUUGUAUUACGAAUCUGUGUGCUUUCCCCUGCUUUCCUCUGCUUUAUAUUACUUAUGCGUGCCGUAUCUAUGUUAUGUAAUCUGCUUCUGUGCUGCACUAUGUGUUUGUGUGGUAUCUCGUGCCUUGAGCCGGGGGUCUAUCGGAAACAACCUUUCUACUUCAUCAGAGGUAGAGGUAUGGACUGCGUACGUCUUACCCCCCCAGACCCCACUAGGUGGGAAUACACUGGGUUUGUUGUUGUUGUUGUUGUUUGGUUAUUUGAUAAAUCAGACUGAUGCUAUUAUUUGGAAUUGGUCUAAAUUCUCAGUAACUGAGCAAGUUUUUUGAUUUAGAUAAAUCUUAUAGUCUCUUUUCCCUGAGUGCACAAAAAUAAGAAGGAACUUCUUAUCCUUCCAUACAUGUGGUAAUUCACAUCAGGGGUGGGGUGGGCUCACCUUCCGAAUUCUGGUUCUAUGUUUGUUUAGGUACUUCAUCAUUCAAAGAGAGUGUUAGCACUAACUUUUAGCAAACAUACAGGGAAUACAACUAACCAAUGAUUGUUGAAAUGGGAAAGUUCGAAAGAAGGUGGUUAGUUCCGUGGUUUGUACACAUAGGCUGCUAAACUACUGUCAAAUGCCAUUUUCUUACUUCUUCUGAGUUCGCUAGCUGUAACAACAUUUAUUUGGUGGAUCGUCCAAUGAAUGAGACUCUAUUCGGUACUCAUUACAAGAGUGGCAAAUGGUUUUUUAGAGUCCACCACUGUCAUCAGCCAUGAGUAGGAUAACUCUGACCUUCUAUUUGGUGUUUCCUCUUCUUUGAUUUCACUGCAUGGAGUUCCCCGACAAAAAAAAUAAAAAUAAAAAUCAUUAUAGGUUGACAGUCCAGCUUUUUGAUUUCGGGGUUCUUGUUCCGAUGGUGAAAAAAAUCUGGAGGGUAGCGUUCUGCUUUUCUGUUCAGCCAGAUGAUAUUUCUUUCCAUCAACUCUUUCUGUGAAAGAACUCCUUAUCAUCAGAAACCAGAGUACGCAUAUGUACACGUUGGAGUGGGUAAUUAUCAGCAUGAGUUUACCCCACUUUGAACCUAGUAUAUGAAGUAGAUGUAGCAAAGUGGACAAAUGUUUCAUAAAUAAACUGUAAAUGGUCGGUGUUAUUCUAUCACAAAAGCUACUUUCACAUUUUCUCAUUAAUCCCCCGCCUUUAGCCUGAGAAAGACACAGACAACCCAACCGUUUUGAUGUAGCCACAUUGCAUCUUAAAAUAUACCAAGGCGGAAAUUGUGAACCUCAGAGAGGCAUAAGUAGU